GACUAUCAAUGGAGGAUCUCAGCUGUGCCCUUUCUUUGCAGAGGUGGUCUAUUCAUAAGACUUCCUCCUGAGAUGCACUGCGAGAUGAAAGUACUCAAGCUGAUUCCUGGAUAGGAAGCAUUCUCUGACAGCUGGAAGAGACCUCACCUAAGUCAGGUCAGUUUGGAGAUGUCCCUGUCAACAGAGCUCUGCCCUUAAGGGGAUCUUGGAACAAGCUGUGCUCUUACGGCCAAGGGAAGAGGGAAAAUCUGCUGCAAGUUUCUCCUGUGCAUCUUGCAGCCAUGUUCUCAGAAAAGGUAUCAGCCACCUGGACUUGUGGACUAUCAGCCACUUGAACUUUCCUUUCAUUGCAGUUUUUCUUGAUAGAAGGCCUGAAAGCUGCAAGAUAGGGAAUCUGUCUCCAAUCUCUGCUCCCUCACAUGUUUUCUCCUUCUUCUUUUCUACCCUGUCUUCAAAACCUUUGCCUUCCAGGAGGGGUACCUCCUGUAAUGAUGUGUUAGGAGGAAGAGAGAGAGUUUUGUUGGAUCUUGAGGAGUGCAGGGCAGAAGAUUACUUCUACUUCUGUUCUUUUUGCAUCAGUCUAAUUGCAGGGCAAGUCUCCCUCAAAGAAACAACCAAAGGGCUCCAUGCAUUGUGUUUGCAGCUCUACUCUCAUGAGUAGUUCAGCUGUACACAUGUAAGUGCUCACAGGAUCAAGCAUGAUAAAGACAAAAAGAUUCAUAUUUCAUAGGUCUUGCUUGUGCUUCAGCCUCCUAAUUUAGGAAGGGAGAAGCCUUUCUUUUGUCAAGCAGAGGUGCUCCAAGGUCUUCAGUGCACGUAGUGAGGAUGGAAAAGUAAUGAUGCCUACAUUUGAAUUUUAUGAGGCAGCUUGACUUUCUGAUAGGUGUUUUUCAGGUUUGGAGCAAAGGUAAAUACGUUUUCAAUUUCCAGUGAAAAUGAACUCCGAAAAAGAUCAGUUUUAGUCAAUUUUCAUUUCACAAUUUUUAUUUAACAAUUUUAUUUUACUUUCUACACUCACCUGUAAAGCUAUCCAGAACUGUAUUAUUGACAUGCUAUGUCGGGUGUAAUCUCAUUGAAAUCUUCCAUUUUUAAUAUAUUUUGUUAUUCCUAAAGGAUACUACUAUUCACUACUGGUUAAAAAAAAAAUCUUCAUCUCCUUUCC
rnacentral:lncRNA from 7 species